GUCAGUGUGGCAUAGUGAUUUGUGUGUUGGACUAUGAAUCUGGAGACCAAGGUUCAAUUCCUAGCUCAGCUA